rnacentral:rRNA from 1 species
AUUGAACGCUGGCGGCAUGCCUUACACAUGCAAGUCGAACGGCAGCACGGGAGCAAUCCUGGUGGCGAGUGGCGAACGGGUGAGUAAUAUAUCGGAACGUGCCCAGUCGUGGGGGAUGACGCAGCGAAAGCUGUGCUAAUACCGCAUACGAUCUACGGAUGAAAGCGGGGGAUCGCAAGACCUCGCGCGAUUGGAGCGGCCGAUAUCAGAUUAGCUAGUUGGUGGGGUAAUGGCCCACCAAGGCGACGAUCUGUAGCUGGUCUGAGAGGACGACCAGCCACACUGGAACUGAGACACGGUCCAGACUCCUACGGGAGGCAGCAGUGGGGAAUUUUGGACAAUGGACGCAAGUCUGAUCCAGCCAUUCCGCGUGCAGGAUGAAGGCCCUCGGGUUGUAAACUGCUUUUGUACAGAACGAAAAGGUUUCUACUAAUACUAGGAGCUCAUGACGGUACUGUAAGAAUAAGCACCGGCUAACUACGUGCCAGCCGCCGCGGUAAGAC